GCCCCUGUGGUGAAAUGGAUAUCAUUGCUGACUUCGGAUCAGCCGUUCCAGGUUCGAGUCCUGGCGGGGGCA
rnacentral:tRNA from 1 species